rnacentral:rRNA from 3 species
GAUUUCUGGUUCGAUGCGUUUGGCCCUCUCGGAGCAAUCCGGCGUGCGUGCCGAUGCGCGUCUGCCAUCCCUUGUAGAGAACGUUUCUACCCUUCACUGGGCCGGAUUCGCAAUCUACAUCUUUUACUUUGAAAAAAUUAGAGUGUUUAAAGCAGGCUUGUGCUAUGAAUACAUUAGCAUGGAAUAAUAAUUUAGGACUUUGGUUCUAUUUUGUUGGUUUCUAGGACUGAAGUAAUGAUUGAUAGGGAUAGUUGGGGGUGCUAGUAUUCAGCGGCCAGAGGUGAAAUUCUUGGAUUCGCUGAAGACUAACUUAUGCGAAAGCAUU